ACAGGGGGGCUCUCCUGUUUCUGUUUUUCUCCCCAUUUUCCCUCCUUUCCCUAUCUUCCCUCCAUCUCUCUCUCGUCCCCCAAGCUCUGUCUCGUUCGCUCCCCACUUUUUCUCUGCCUCUCUCUCCCCCUUUUUCCUCCCAUAUCUCUCUUUCUCUCCAUCCCAGCGAGCUCUCAACAUGGAAUCUCGAUACAAAAAGUAAAAAGAAGAGGGAUAAAUUAGCCCUAAUCCCUAAUCAUAAUCGGUAAGAAACUCUCUACUCUCUAUAAAAUGAUCAAACAACUUUCUAUGUCAAAGCAAUCAAUCCAUAGAGAUACUUCAUUUGUGUUUUAGAAACCAACCCAAGAUACUUCAAUCCAAGACCCAAAAAGAAAAUCUCUUUCAAGAAAAAAAAUGACGUCCAAAAUUUUUGCUUCAAGAAAAACAAUGGCGUGAAGAAAUUUUUACUCCACGUUUCUCACUCUCCCCUAUUUUUCCUCCCUCUGUCGUCCAUGUCCCCUAAACACUCUCUCUCUCUCUACAUAUUUGCUUUCUCUCAAGGAAGCUAAAGGAUGUAAGAAAAACAAGGAUUCAAAUUCUUUAGCAUGCAAAAUCCAUAGCUAGAAAGGAAACAUACUUCAAUAAUUUUUUUUAAAUAAAAAUAUUACUGUUACAGUAGGGAAAAAUCCUUACUUGUUUUUUUUGUUUCUUUUAUAGAUAAAGUAAAAUGAAUUAUUAGUAUUGUUGAUACUAUUAUAUUCCCUUGAAUUAUUUUCUUAGCCAUCUAUGAAGAUUUUAUGUUUAAUUUUUUUUUUCAUAGAUACACUAAAAUAAAUUAUUAGUAUUGUUGAUACUAUUAUCUUACUUUGAAAAAAAGAAUUUAGGUGUCUAUGAAGAGGUUAUAUUUUCCAGGUGGCCUAAAAAAUUUGAAUUUUUGCCUCAAUUACCUUGUAAUUUUUUUGUUUUAUCCAAUACUGCUUAGAGAUUUGGGAUUUAAAGUUCUUUUUUGUGAUUAAUUUUUACACCAUGGUAAUACCAAUUUGUUGUUAUUCAAUGUCAAAGUUUAGUGGAUACUAUCAUGACGCUAGUUGAUUGGAGUUUUAUUUUUAGUUUUUAUUUAUAUUUUAUGCUAUGAAGUCCUUUAGGUUUAUUCAAAUGCAUAAAUUGUUUUUGGAAUUUCAAAACUCUUUUUUCCUAGUCAUAAUUGAUGCAUACCUUGCAAUCUAUGCAUAGUGAGUUAUCAACGAAGAUUGUUUUUCAAGUAAGCAUAGUGAGCAUGGCGUGGGUGCCAUUUGUUGGAUUGGCUAGAGGCUUGGGGGUUGGAUCAACAAUGAAUAUGGGUGUAAAAGUGAUGCAUGGCUGCUGCUCUGUUCCUGAUGUGCUUGAGGCUUUAAUUAGCUUUGGUAUAGGUAUGACAUAUGUUAUUUCCUUUGUUAUAUUGCCAAUCCUUUUGUUUUAUGCAGGCCCGCAGUCAUUUGUAACUUUAGCUAACAAGGACUUUCAGGCAAUGGUUCAAUACCCAAAUAUUACUUGGUGCUUACUACAGGGAAGGUUAUAAGUUGUUGAAUAUAAUAUGUAAUGUAACUUAUUGUAUUUUUCCUUGAUGGAAUGAUCACAAUCGUUUUUUUUUUUUUUUUCCAAGAAUUGUUUUUACGAAUAUAUGAC
rnacentral:lncRNA from 1 species